GGAUGGAUGGAUGGAUGGAUGGAUAGAUGGAUCAUCACGUUGUACAAAGAAGUGAAAGGUACACAGCUGUUUCCCCAGAAUGCUGAUAGCUGGCGAAGCGGGAGAACAGAACGGUCUCUGCGGGGAUCACAUCAUGGAAAGUAUGAAGGAGAGCAGCAACACAAAAAGAGACUUUAUUUUCUUCCUUCCAGAGAGAGAGAGAGAGAGAGAGAGAGAGAAUGAUUUUCCGUUUUCACAUCACACUGAGUUAUACGUUGUUCCCCCUAAAGCAAUGACACCUCUUACAGUUGACCCAUUGUGUCGAAACGUGUUCGAACCAAAGUGGCUUUGGACGAACGAGCGCGUUCCAGACUGAACGGCAUCGCAGUGUGGGUGUUCGGCACGCUGAAGACUUUUAGGAAUUGGCUGUCAUGAGGUGCGGUGUGAGGCGGUGAGGCAGACGCUGAGGACCCAGAUAAACUGAAGUCUUUCAUAAUGAAAGCAGGAUAUUUGGAACAUGGACGGAGAGAAUCACAGAGAAACCAUUUCAAACUCUAAAAUCUAAACUCGUCUUUUGAUGACGCGGCAUCCGUUGUUUGAGGCUCCAGUGAUUUACUUAAGGGAACACUGGUCAUUAUUAUUAUGAUGAUGAUGAUGAACCUUCUCUGUGGUUUCAAAUGACUUUUCUGGAUCAAUCUCAUGAUUUGCAAGUCACAAGGUAGCCUCUAACAAUUACGCCCAUGGCGGCGCACACUGUCAUGAGUUUCUUUAAGCAGGUUGUCAAGCUCAGGCAAUGAAACAAACCUUUUCCUGCCUGCACAUGUGAAUAAAUCUCAAGCACUUAAGUGGAAUUGUCUUUUUUUCUGAAAAGGUUCAGUUGCUUUCUACGUAAGCCUGUCACAACAACAAAUUUUACCGGACGAUAAAUUGUCCCAGAAGUUAUUGCGAUAGACGAGGAUGUUGUUGUUUCGAGAUCAAGCGAUACAACUGUAAUGGCAAAAACGUUUUCUCAAAGAUGAACAAACUUUCAAUUCUAAUGAGCAUCUAACACCGGAAG